rnacentral:lncRNA from 1 species
UGAGCUGCACGCGGUUGAUGGUUAAGAAGAGCUUGGCUAAUUCAGUCAGCUUGGUUCUCUCUGCCCUGCUCUGACUGACAGGCCAGGCCCCUGCUCAUCCCUGAAAACUAGCAUCAGGGAAUGACAUACAGUUUGAUAACAUAAGAUGCUUAGGUUUUUUGGCUCAAGUGAGAUGUUCAGAGCUAAUAGCCCUGUGAGCUGAGUUUUAGCUGCGAUCUGCACCUUGAGAUAUCCGUUAUGUCUGGCUCAGGAAAAAGGGGAAAGAAUGAGAGCUUAUUUCUAGAAAGGUUUCCGAUGAGCAGCAUUUGUCAUUGAAGGGGAAGAUGGGUAUAAUUAGCUUGUCAGUCUAGUUUGGGCUGAGCAGGCUGUCUCUGCUAAGAAAGAUGGACUAACUGCCAGAGCCACUGACAGGCAGUCGAUAGCGCAGCAAUUAAUGUCAUAAAUAAUUCCAGAACCAAUUACAUCAAAAUGGACUCGGAGCUUUAAAAAGCAACAGAAACAUGAGGUCGGUCCAGCCUGGGGCAGUUUCUCUCCAAGAGAAGAUGGAGGAAGCACAGCUAAGUGACUGGAAAUUUGACAUGCCUUCAUGUCAAGAGAUACCUGUACCUCUUGGAAACAACAAGCCCUUUGUGGUACCUCAGUGGGAUCAUCAGUGGGGCAUGGCCCUCUCUUGGACAACGUUCUCAUGCUGCUUUGCAAAGAGAAUAUAUAACAGGAUUUGUACAGAAUCCCAUUUCUCAUUUCCUCAAGGUCCAAUCCUCACAAGCCAGGACUAUUCAAGCACAUCCCAUAGUCAACCCAUUAUACAGUGGCCCAGUUAAGCUGAGCUAUUGGUUUUCCUACAACUUUUCCUUCCAUAGAUCUUUGUGAAAGCUUGAACAUUAAGCUUUGUGAAAUGACUCUGAUUCUUCAUUAUCUCUAUAUCUUGCUCAAUGAAGGACAUGCGAUCCUGGAACUGAUUCUAGAAUCCAUUUCAAAAACAAGGGAAGAGAGAGUAAAUGACUGCAAGCAAUAUAUCCCUGAAGUUUCUUCAUUCCCAAGAGGAUAUUUUUACCAGAUGAAGGAACCGUAGAUUACUGAAAUUGGGAAAAGCCAUGGAUAAGAUCCUUGAACAAGAAGUAAAGAUCGAGCCCCAUAGAGAUUGCAUGACUUGCCCAAGGUCAUAGUUUGUUAGUCUCAGAGAAGAAACAAUGCAUUUUUCUAAAAUAGGAUGCUUCUCACAUUUUAGUCUUUUAGCAAAUUUAACCUUCCAUACAGCUGUUGAGAUAACCUACUGGUUUUACAAGCUAAAUCAACACAAGGGACAUCGCUCAGAAAAUGCCCCCAGACUGCCUCCCUUUUCAUUAUUGAAAACCACGAGAUGAAAGUCUUUAAUAACUUACUGCACAAGAGGACCAUUACUGUCAGCAUAUACCACUCAGCCAUAUAUUAUAGCUUUUUACUUCUCCACACAAAAUUGCUUUGAAAUUUACAUUUGCUAUAAAGGAUUUAAGUCCAUCACUAUUAAUUUUCUUCUACAAAUUAUGUUUAAUUAUCACCUCUUUCUACCUAGGAAGAAGCCCCUCUUGUACUGCCAUCUCCAUAUAGCUCUCAAGAAGAGUGUCCUCAGCAUGAAUCUUUGAUGGUGAUUUUAUACUCCUUACUUGCCCUUCCUUGUCAAGCGCACACAGCCCACUUAGAGAUAUGGAAAUGAACUCUUUGCCUGGC